rnacentral:rRNA from 1 species
UACGUAGGGUGCAAGCGUUAAUCGGAAUUACUGGGCGUAAAGCGUGCGCAGGCGGUUUUGUAAGUCUGUCGUGAAAUCCCCGGGCUCAACCUGGGAAUUGCGAUGGAGACUGCAAGGCUAGAAUCUGGCAGAGGGGGGUAGAAUUCCACGUGUAGCAGUGAAAUGCGUAGAGAUGUGGAGGAACACCGAUGGCGAAGGCAGCCCCCUGGGUCAAGAUUGACGCUCAUGCACGAAAGCGUGGGAGCAACAGGAUAGAAA